AAACAUAUCCCCCCUUCAUUUUGACAUGUCUUUUUUGAAAAUAGUAGCUAUUAGCUAAGUUAUAAAAUUUUAUUUGAGUCAUUAGUAUUAAGUUCUAUGUAUUCAAGAUUGAUUUGAUAUUAUGGUUGUGACUAAGUGUUACAUACAAGGAUAUGCUUAUAGUUUCUAGUAAUGUAUAUAUUACUAUUGGUUUAUGCCGCCAGUUACUCCAAAUAGGAAGCUUAGUCAUGAUCAUUGAUUUAUACACUAUGCAUUUUGUUUUAUUUUUUUAUUUGAGCACCUAGAUAUCAAUUGUUUGUGUAAAAU
rnacentral:misc_RNA from 1 species